rnacentral:rRNA from 1 species
UUGAACUGCAUGGUUCGAAAUUGAAAGGCGGCUUCGGCUGUCACUUAUGGAUGGACCCGCGUCGCAUUAGCUAGUUGGUGAGGUAACGGCUCACCAAGGCAACGAUGCGUAGCCGACCUGAGAGGGUGAUCGGCCACACUGGGACUGAGACACGGCCCAGACUCCUACGGGAGGCAGCAGUAGGGAAUCUUCCGCAAUGGACGAAAGUCUGACGGAGCAACGCCGCGUGAGUGAUGAGGGCUUUCGGGUCGUAAAACUCUGUUGUU